rnacentral:rRNA from 1 species
CCUACGGGGUGCACCAGUGGGGAAUAUUGCACAAUGGGCGCAAGCCUGAUGCAGCCAUGCCGCGUGUAUGAAGAAGGCCUUAGGGUUGUAAAGUACUUUCAGUUGGGAGGAAGGCGUUGAUACUAAUAUCAUCAACGAUUGACGUUACCAACAGAAGAAGCACCGGCUAACUCCGUGCCAGCAGCCGCGGUAAUACGGAGGGUGCAAGCGCUAAUCGGAAUUACUGGGCGUAAAGCGCACGCAGGCGGUUGAUUAAGUUAGAUGUGAAAUCCCCGGGCUUAACCUGGGAAUGGCAUCUAAGACUGGUCAGCUAGAGUCUUGUAGAGGGGGGUAGAAUUCCAUGUGUAGCGGUGAAAUGCGUAGAGAUGUGGAGGAAUACCGGUGGCGAAGGCGGCCCCCUGGACAAAGACUGACGCUCAGGUGCGAAAGCGUGGGGAGCAAACAGGAUUAGAUACCCCAGUAGUC